AGUGAACGCUGGCGGUAGGCCUAACACAUGCAAGUCGAACGGCAGCACAGUAAGAGCUUGCUCUUACGGGUGGCGAGUGGCGGACGGGUGAGGAAUACAUCGGAAUCUACUUUUUAGUGGGGGAUAACGUAGGGAAACUUACGCUAAUACCGCAUACGACCUACGGGUGAAAGCAGGGGAUCUUCGGACCUUGCGCGAAUGAAUGAGCCGAUGUCGGAUUAGCUAGUUGGCGGGGUAAAGGCCCACCAAGGCGACGAUCCGUAGCUGGUCUGAGAGGAUGAUCAGCCACACUGGAACUGAGACACGGUCCAGACUCCUACGGUAGGCAGCAGUGGGGAAUAUUGGACAAUGGGCGCAAGCCUGAUCCAGCCAUACCGCGUGGGUGAAGAAGGCCUUCGGGUUGUAAAGCCCUUUUGUUGGGAAAGAAAAGCAGCAGGUUAAUACCCCGCUGUUCUGACGGUACCCAAAGAAUAAGCACCGGCUAACUUCGUG
rnacentral:rRNA from 1 species